CGAGUUCAGGUGAUUCUCCUGCCUCAGCCUCUGGAGUAGCUGGGAUUACAGGCGCUCACCACCACGCCUGGCUAAUUUUUUGUAUUUUUAGUAGAAACGGGGUUUCUCCACGUUGGUCAGGCUGGUCUCGAACUCCCGAACUCAGUGAUCCGCCUGCCUCAGCCUCCCAAAGUGGUGGGAUUACAGGUGUGAGCCACCGUGCCUGACCUGGUUUGGACCUUUCAAAAGUAUUCUUGUCACUGCCUGCUAAUUCCCAGUGUGGCUGGGAAGAUGAAGUUACUGUCACUUCUUAAGUUAGAGGAUUUUCAUAUCCAACACGUUUAUUAAUGGUCAGUUGGCAUGCUGGCACCUCUGGUGAAUUCAGUUCUAUGAAAAGUUAAUAGCCCAUCAGUUUGAGAGCAUUUGGCACCUGCUGUUCCUCUGUGAUGAGGAAGGACACGCCAAAGCUGCAAGCCUCCCUACCCCAUCCAUUUACCAUCUGUCCCCCUGGGCCCCACCCUUCAGAACUUGUAGUAAUAAGUCUCGAGACAUGAGUGGACCAGAGACAGCUGCCCCAAAGGAUAUAACUGUAUGCCUUUAGACUCCCACAGAUGAUUGAUCCAGCUCAUGGUGUCUGCUGUUCAAGUAAACAAAACAUUGAUUAAGGUCUCUGGUUUUUCAGGCAGCAUUUUACAGGCACUGGGAUAUAUAGUGUUGGAGGCAACAAAGUCCCUACUCCCAAGAAACUCAAGUUCCAGUUAGAAAAAAUAUUAGCUUAUGUUUAUUGAGUAGUAUGUGCCUUUAAGUACUUUACACAUACUAACUUAAUUAAACAGAAACCAUGAACUACUAGCCACACAAACAAAGGAUGAAGGUAAUGAGAAGAGAACAAUUAAUGUUGCCUGUAAUGGUCAAGUAAGCUUCAAGUAAGAGAGGUAACAUUUGAGAUGGGACAUGAAAGAUGGUCAUGGUUUCACUAGAAAAGGAAACAGUUCCAGAGGAACCACACACAACUAGUAGCCAUGGGGUCUAUAGCAGAGGGUAUGAAGGAUCAAAUCAGCAUCCUACUAAGGAUUUGCAGACUGGAACUAUAGUGGGCAAGGCUUUGAAUGUGUAGUGUUCAAAAGUUUAGACUUCAUCCUUUAGAUCUUCAAGCCCAGUGCAAUGGCUCACACCUGUAAUCCCAGCACUUUGGGAACUGAAGCAGGAGGAUCGCUUGAGCCCAUGAGUUCCAGACCACCCUGGGCAACAUGGUGAGACUCCAUCUCCACAAAAAAUUUAAAAAUUAGCUGGGCUUGGUGGCGUGUGCCUGUUGUCCCAGCUACUUGGGAUGCAGGAGGUCAAGUUUGUAGUGAGCCAUGUUCAUGCCACUGCACUACAGCCUAGGUGACAGAGUGAGACCCUGUCUCCAAAAAAAAAAAAAAAAAAAACCUCAGGUGAAUGCAGAGAUAGAAUUGUAGGAUUUGAUUACACAAAUGCAAAUCUAAGAGAGGAAUAGUAGAAAGAUGAAACAAGGUUUCUAGCAGUUGGGUUUUGCAUGAAGACAGGGAGAAUGAAAGAAAGGGAGAGAAUGAGUUUUGUUUUGUCAAGGGGACUUUCUUGGGAAAAAAAUCUCCAGUGGACAAUUAGAGCUGGAUUUCAGGAGAAAAGGGCUACAGAGUGAUUUGGGAGUUUAAGAGUAAGUAGAGCAGGAGAGGCCCAAGGACAGAAUGGUGGGGAAGACUUGACAUUUAAGGGGCAGGAAGAACAGCUGGAAGAGAAGCAAUCAGUGGUAAGAGGGGAACCAAGGAAAGCUGUGUUAGCCAAGCUCAGUAACUUCUUUGCCAAAAGAAUAAACUGGCCAGGUGCGGUGGCUCACACCUGUAAUCCCAACACUUUGGGAGGCGGAGGUGGGUGGAUCUCUUGAGCCUAGGAGUUCAAGACCAGCCUGGGCAACAUGGCAAAACCCCGUCUCUACUAAAAAUACAAAAUUUAGGCUGGGCGCGGUGGCUCACACCUAUCUGUAAUCCCAGCACUGUGGGAAGCCAAGGCGGGUGGAUCAGAAGGUCAGGGGUUUGAGACCACCCUGACCAACAUGGUGAAACCCUGUCUCUACUAAAAAUACAAAAAUUAGCCAGGCAUGGUGGCAUGCGCCUGUAAUCCCAGCUACUCGGGAGCCUGAGGCAGGAGAAUCGCUUGAACCCGGGAGGCGGAGGUUGCAGUGAACCAAGAUCGCACCACCACACUCCAGCCUGGGCAACAAAGCGAGACUCUGUCUCAAAAACAAAACAAAAAAAAAAUUAGCUGAGCAUGGUGGCGGGCACCUAUAGUGCCAGCUGCUCAGGAGGCUAGGUGGGAGGAUCACCUGAGCCUAGGAGGCUGAGGCUCGGUGAGCCAUGAUCGUGCCAUUGUGCACUUCUUCAGCCUGGAUGACAGAGUGGAAACCUUUAAAAAAAAAAAAAAAAAAAAAAACUAGCAGGAUGAAGGCUGGUGGAGAAUGGAUAACUGUAAUAAAUAGUAGGUCUUUCUACCCAUCUUAUAUUAAUAGUUACUUCAGGAGAGGGAUGUGGG
rnacentral:lncRNA from 1 species